GACGAACGCUGGCGGCGUGCUUAACACAUGCAAGUCGAACGGUAAGGCCCUUCGGGGUACACGAGUGGCGAACGGGUGAGUAGCACGUGGGUGAUCUGCCCUGCACUUCGGGAUAAGCCUGGGAAACUGGGUCUAAUACCGGAUAGGACCCUGGGAUGCAUGUCCUGGGGUGGAAAGCUUUUGCGGUGUGGGAUGGGCCCGCGGCCUAUCAGCUUGUUGGUGGGGUGAUGGCCUACCAAGGCGACGACGGGUAGCCGGCCUGAGAGGGUGACCGGCCACACUGGGACUGAGAUACGGCCCAGACUCCUACGGGAGGCAGCAGUGGGGAAUAGUGCACAAUGGGCGCAAGCCUGAUGCAGCGACGCCGCGUGAGGGAUGACGGCCUUCGGGUUGUAAACCUCUUUCAGCACCGACGAAGCGCAAGUGACGGUAGGUGCAGAAGAAGGACCGGCCAACUACGUGCCAGCAGCCGCCGUAA
rnacentral:rRNA from 1 species